GGCCCAGUUCGAAGUAGAGUAGUUGAGUAGGGUCAGCCGAUACUACUAAUCUAUUCUACUUCGAAUUUGGGCCC
rfam:Haemonchus placei strain MHpl1 genome assembly, scaffold: HPLM_scaffold0002794